rnacentral:hammerhead_ribozyme from 1 species
AUCCAGCUGAUGAGUCCCAAAUAGGAUGAAAUGUGCGUUUAAGUGGAU